rnacentral:rRNA from 1 species
GGAGUCUGGGCCGUGUCUCAGUCCCAGUGUGGCCGAUCAUCCUCUCAAACCGGCUACAGAUCGUCGCCUUGGUCAGCCGUUACCUAACCAACUAGCUAAUCUGAUAUGGGCCACUCUUCCGGCGAUAAAUCUUUCCCCCGUGGGGCUUAUGCGGUAUUAUCACCCGUUUCCAGAUGUUAUUCCACACCAAAAGGCAUGUUCCCAUAUGUUCCUCACCCGUCCGCUACUGCUGUAUUGCUACAACCGUUCAACUUGCAUGUUUUAGGCCUGCCGCCAGCGUUCGUU